UACGGUGGGGGCAAGCGUUGUUCGGAAUUACGGGGCGUAAAGGGCUCGUAGGUGGCCAACUAAGUCAGACGUGAAAUCCCUCGGCUUAACCGGGGAACUGCGUCUGAUACUGGAUGGCUUGAGUUUGGGAGAGGGAUGCGGAAUUCCAGGUGUAGCGGUGAAAUGCGUAGAUAUCGAGAGGAACACCGGUGGCGAAGGCGGCGAUCUGGACGAUGACUGACGCUGAGACGCGAAAGCGUGGGGAGCAAACAGG
rnacentral:rRNA from 1 species